GGAGCUUGCUCCACCGGAAAAAGAAGAGUGGCGAACGGGUGAGUAACACGUGGGUAACCUGCCCAUCAGAAGGGGAUAACACUUGGAAACAGGUGCUAAUACCGUAUAACAAUCGAAACCGCAUGGUUUUGAUUUGAAAGGCGCUUUCGGGUGUCGCUGAUGGAUGGACCCGCGGUGCAUUAGCUAGUUGGUGAGGUAACGGCUCACCAAGGCCACGAUGCAUAGCCGACCUGAGAGGGUGAUCGGCCACAUUGGGACUGAGACACGGCCCAAACUCCUACGGGAGGCAGCAGUAGGGAAUCUUCGGCAAUGGACGAAAGUCUGACCGAGCAACGCCGCGUGAGUGAAGAAGGUUUUCGGAUCGUAAAACUCUGUUGUUAGAGAAGAACAAGGAUGAGAGUAACUGUUCAUCCCUUGACGGUAUCUAACCAGAAAGCCACGGCUAACUACGUGCCAGCAGCCGCGGUAAUACGUAGGUGGCAAGCGUUGUCCGGAUUUAUUGGGCGUAAAGCGAGCGCAGGCGGUUUCUUAAGUCUGAUGUGAAAGCCCCCGGCUCAACCGGGGAGGGUCAUUGGAAACUGGGAGACUUGAGUGCAGAAGAGGAGAGUGGAAUUCCAUGUGUAGCGGUGAAAUGCGUAGAUAUAUGGAGGAACACCAGUGGCGAAGGCGGCUCUCUGGUCUGUAACUGACGCUGAGGCUCGAAAGCGUGGGGAGCAAACAGGAUUAGAUACCCUGGUAGUCCACGCCGUAAACGAUGAGUGCUAAGUGUUGGAGGGUUUCCGCCCUUCAGUGCUGCAGCUAACGCAUUAAGCACUCCGCCUGGGGAGUACGACCGCAAGGUUGAAACUCAAAGGAAUUGACGGGGGCCCGCACAAGCGGUGGAGCAUGUGGUUUAAUUCGAAGCAACGCGAAGAACCUUACCAGGUCUUGACAUCCUUUGACCACUCUAGAGAUAGAGCUUCCCCUUCGGGGGCAAAGUGACAGGUGGUGCAUGGUUGUCGUCAGCUCGUGUC
rnacentral:rRNA from 1 species